rnacentral:rRNA from 1 species
UACGAAGGGGGCUAGCGUUGUUCGGAAUUACUGGGCGUAAAGCGCGCGCAGGCGGUCUUCCAAGUCAGUGGUGAAAGCCCGGAGCUCAACUCCGGAACUGCCAUUGAAACUGUGAGACUGGAGUACGAGAGAGGUGAGUGGAAUUCCCAGUGUAGAGGUGAAAUUCGUAGAUAUUGGGAAGAACACCGGUGGCGAAGGCGGCUCACUGGCUCGUAACUGACGCUCAGGCGCGACAGCGUGGGGAGCAAACAGG